GGCGUUUACAGUCGCCAGUAGCGCUGUAUGCGUGUUUAUGCCCCCUCCCCGUCAUGCAGACACUGUGCGGACUGGUUUCAGCUCUCAGUGAGUGAACACGGCAGCCGGACCGGAACCGAGGCGAGCACAGCAUACACAGCCUCCGAGACCGACAGAGGCCAGUGGGAAUACAGUCCUGAUGUGGUUUUCUUGCCGUGUUUCUUGGCACCCGGGGCUGAGUAAGCUAACUGAACUAGCAGCACGGCUAAUCGACCAAGCUAACAUACAGUUGUCCUGUGAAGCUAGAUGCUGCUCCGUGGUCAGUCCCACCAGGAAAGGUGUACUGAGGUUCCACCAACCACAACACACUCUUGUGUGCUAGACAGACUUUUUUGUAGGGAAUAUCUCCUCGCAGUCUGCGAGCCAGAAGCCAGCGAGUGCGAAAGAGAUGGUAAAUCAAGUGCAUUCGAACAUGCUACACAAUAGAGAAGUUAUCCUAUGAAGUGUGGGUUCUGCAGUUGUCUCAGCUCAAGUCAACAAGAUCUAUUGAGCCGUAGACUACGACACGGAAGAGCUCACUGGCCCUGUGUUGCAUUAAACACACUUUACCAGAUCACAUUGCAGGACUGACAUCUACCUUUUCCUAUGAGUAAUGUGAAUUUCGAGAAACUUGGACUAAGCGCAGAUUUUUCAUUCAUCUGGCACAUCAUUUAAAAAGUCAACAGACUGUGCAUUGCCCGGAAAUUGCUAAAAAUGAAACCUGUACCAUUGACACUUAUAUCAUUGAUGGUGUUGGGCAGUAAUGCAAUGUAAUAUGGCUGGCUAUAUGGCAAAAAGAAUACAGUUUUUACCUGGGAAAUGGACAUGGACCCCUGCAUUGACAAGAAAAGAAAAUGCAGAGUCAUCCUGCAACUUUCUUUAACCUGACUUUGCUGCAUCAAAAUGAAAGAUUAUGUGGCAAAGAACUGAGUUAGCCAAUCAAAUAUCUUUUAAAUUAGACUAAUUGUAUAAUAUUUCAUCAUUUAGCUUCUAUCUGAAGCAACAUUCCCACACCAACACAGACCCUUGUGUUUUCUCUCAAGUGUCAUUUUUGGUCUGAACAGGGUUGAGACAGAAUUUCAGUCAGGUACUAAAUAGUUUAAGAACCAUAAAGUCUAUGUCAUUCAACCAUCUCAUCAUACAUUUAUAAUAGCCUUUAACAGAGCCUAUGGUGAAAAAUGUUUGCACUUAAUGCUGUAAUAGAUCUACAGUUUUCUUGGAUUUUGAUCACUGCCAAUCAUUCUGAAAUGUUUAAAAGAAAUCUGAGACUAAAUUGCUAAAUAUACAUAUUCAUUAUAAAAUUUCACAGUCACAGCUGGACUAAUGCACUUUUCUAAAACAGUACACUAUCCCUCCUACGUUGCAAGUCAGUGCUAAAAUAUCAUCUUUCAUGUUAAAAUGUAAAUGUGAAAUGGUGUCCCCGCGUCCCUGUACACACAUCGGUUGACGAUGGAUGGAUGGAUGGAUGGAUGGAUGGAAAUGUUGGCUCCAGUUAUAGCAAUGUAGUAUUUUUUUUUUAUCCCCAGUAUGUCUGAUUAGCAAGCUAGCAAUUGACUGCAGACACACAGUAUCUAACAGUCAAGUCUUUCAAAUCUAUUCAGUAUAAAAAGUCAACAUACUACAACAUACAUACAGAAAUAUGCAAAUUGAUAACAUACCUUGAACACCAACUUUUGAUUAGUUUGCAAAGUAAUGGCCAUGUAAACACUUCUCACAAACAUGUGAAAUGGGCAGAGUUAAUGUGAUAAAUGUAUUUAGUCUUUACCAGUUUAUUAGGUACAUCUAGCUUAAUAUACAGUCUAAUCCAAUAUUCAUGCAAUAAAUCCUCCCAUCAUGAAAAUGA